GACGAACGCUGGCGGCGUGCUUAACACAUGCAAGUCGAACGAAAAUACCAAGCUUGCUUGGUUGAUUAGUGGCGAACGGGUGAGUAACACGUGAGUAACCUGCCCCUUACUUUCCUGGAUAACUGCUCGAAAGGGUAGCUAAUACGGGAUAUUCUGACUAGCCUGCAUGGGUUGGUUUGGAAAGGUUGUUUUUCUGGUAAGGGAUGGGCUCGCGGCCUAUCAGCUUGUUGGUGGGGUGAUGGCCUACCAAGGCUUUGACGGGUAGCCGGCCUGAGAGGGUGGACGGUCACACUGGGACUGAGAUACGGCCCAGACUCCUACGGGAGGCAGCAGUGGGGAAUAUUGCACAAUGGGCGCAAGCCUGAUGCAGCGACGCCGCGUGAGGGAUGAAGGCCUUCGGGUUGUAAACCUCUUUCGUCAGGGAACAAGGCACUGUCUUUUUGGUGGUGUUGAGGGUACCUGGAUAAGAAGCGCCGGCUAACUACGUGCCAGCAGCCGCGGUAAUACGUAGGGCGCAAGCGUUGUCCGGAAUUAUUGGGCGUAAAGAGCUCGUAGGCGGCUGGUCGCGUCUGUCGUGAAAACUUCCGGCUCAACCGGGGGCUUGCGGUGGGUACGGGCCGGCUAGAGUGCGGUAGGGGUAACUGGAACUCCUGGUGUAGCGGUGGAAUGCGCAGAUAUCAGGAAGAACACCGAUGGCGAAGGCAGGUUACUGGGCCGUUACUGACGCUGAGGAGCGAAAGCGUGGGGAGCGAACAGG
rnacentral:rRNA from 1 species